GCUCAGGACGAACGCUGGCGGCGUGCUUAACACAUGCAAGUCGAACGAUGAAGCCUUUCGGGGUGGAUUAGUGGCGAACGGGUGAGUAACACGUGGGCAAUCUGCCCUUCACUCUGGGACAAGCCCUGGAAACGGGGUCUAAUACCGGAUAACACUCUGUCCCGCAUGGGACGGGGUUGAAAGCUCCGGCGGUGAAGGAUGAGCCCGCGGCCUAUCAGCUUGUUGGUGGGGUAAUGGCCUACCAAGGCGACGACGGGUAGCCGGCCUGAGAGGGCGACCGGCCACACUGGGACUGAGACACGGCCCAGACUCCUACGGGAGGCAGCAGUGGGGAAUAUUGCACAAUGGGCGAAAGCCUGAUGCAGCGACGCCGCGUGAGGGAUGACGGCCUUCGGGUUGUAAACCUCUUUCAGCAGGGAAGAAGCGAAAGUGACGGUACCUGCAGAAGAAGCGCCGGCUAACUACGUGCCAGCAGCCGCGGUAAUACGUAGGGCGCAAGCGUUGUCCGGAAUUAUUGGGCGUAAAGAGCUCGUAGGCGGCUUGUCACGUCGGAUGUGAAAGCCCGGGGCUUAACCCCGGGUCUGCAUUCGAUACGGGCUAGCUAGAGUGUGGUAGGGGAGAUCGGAAUUCCUGGUGUAGCGGUGAAAUGCGCAGAUAUCAGGAGGAACACCGGUGGCGAAGGCGGAUCUCUGGGCCAUUACUGACGCUGAGGAGCGAAAGCGUGGGGAGCGAACAGGAUUAGAUACCCUGGUAGUCCACGCCGUAAACGUUGGGAACUA
rnacentral:rRNA from 1 species